GAACGCACAUUGCGCCCUGUGGCAUUCCGCAGGGCAUGCCUGUUCGAGCGUCAGUACAACACUCAAGCCUAGCUUGGUCUUGGGCCUCGCCGGAGACGGCGGGCCUUUAAAAUCAGUGGCGGCGCCUCUCGGGCCCUAAGCGUAGUAAUACUUCUCGCUACAGGGACCCGGUGGACGCUGGCCAGCAACCCCCAACUUUCUAAGUUUGACCUCGGAUCAGGUAGGGAUACCCGCUGAACUUAAG
rnacentral:misc_RNA from 1 species